rnacentral:tRNA from 1 species
GGCUUUAUAGUGUAGUUGGUUAUCACUACGGGUUCUGAUUCCGUCGACCUGAGUUCGACUCUCAGUAAAGCCA